rnacentral:rRNA from 1 species
AAUCCGGUUGAUCCUGCCGGACCCUACUGCUAUCGGGGUAGGACUAAAACAUGCGAGUCAAACGUCUCUAAGCCAUGGAGGAGACGUGGCAAACGGCUCAGUAACACGUGGCUAACCUAACCUUGAGACAGGAACAACCCCGGGAAACUGGGGACAAUUCCAGAUAGGCGAGGAAGCCUGGAAUGACUCCUCACCCAAAAGAUAUCCGAACCAUGCUUUAGAUGUCGCUCAAGGAUGGAGCCGCGGCCGAUCAGGUAGUUGGUAGGACAAAGGCCUACCAAGCCUAUAACCGGUACGGGCCGUGAGAGCGGGAGCCCGGAGAUGGGAACUGAGACAAGGUCCCAGGCCCUACGGGGCGCAGCAGUUGCGAAAACUCGCCAAUGCACGAAAGUGUGAGCGGGCUACCCCGAGUGCCGUCCGCUGAGGAUGGCUUUUCUCCAGUGUAAGGAGCUGGAGGAAUAAGGAGAGGGCAAGACUGGUGUCAGCCGCCGCGGUAAUACCAGCUCUCCGAGUGGUAGGGAUGAUUAUUGGGCUUAAAGCGUCCGUAGCCGGCCUAACAAGUCUCUCGUUAAAUCCAACGAUCCAAUCGUUGGACUGCGGGAGAUACUGUCAGGCUAGGAGACGGGAGAGGCCGACGGUACUCUUGGGGUAGGGGUGAAAUCCUGUAAUCCCAGGAAGACCACCAGUGGCGAAGGCUGUCGGCUGGCACGUGCUCGACGGUGAGGGACGAAAGCUUGGGGAGCGAACCGGAUUAGAUACCCGGGUAGUCCAAGCUGUAAACGAUGCGGGCUAGGUGUUGGGGUGGCUACGGGCCACUUCAGUGCCGCAGUGAAAGCGUUAAGCCCGCCGCCUGGGGAGUACGGCCGCAAGGCUGAAACUUAAAGGAAUUGGCGGGGGAGCACCACAAGGGGUGAAGCUUGCGGUUUAAUUGGAGUCAACGCCGGGAACCUUACCGGGGGCGACA